AUCCAGCCGACGAGUCCCAAAUAGGACGAAACGCGCUUUGUUGUGAAU
rnacentral:hammerhead_ribozyme from 1 species